GACGAACGCUGGCGGCGUGCUUAACACAUGCAAGUCGAACGAAGUGGCGAACGGGUGAGUAACGCGUAAUCAACCUGCCCUUCAGAGGGGGAUAACAGUGGGAAACGACUGCUAAUACCGCAUACUGAAGGAGGGGAUUGCGUCUGAUUAGCUAGUUGGAGGGGUAACGGCCCCCCAAGGCGAUGAUCAGUAGGCUGUCUGAGAGGAUUGACCGCCACAUUGGGACUGAGACCCCGCCCAGACUCCUACGGGGGGCAGCAGUGGGGAAUCUUCCGCAAUUGACCAAAGGCUGACGGAGCAACGCCGCGUGAGUGAUGACGGCCUUCGGGUUGUAAAGCUCUGUUAAUCGGGACGCGGUACCGGAAUAGAAAGCCACGGCUAACUACGUGCCAGCCGCCGCGGUAAUUC
rnacentral:rRNA from 1 species